rnacentral:rRNA from 1 species
CACCGCCCGUCACACCAUGGGAGUUGGUUUCACCCGAAGGCUGUGCGCUAACCGCAAGGAGGCAGCAGACCACGGUGGGAUCAGCGACGUGGGGUGAAGUCGUAACAACGGUACC